rnacentral:lncRNA from 1 species
UUACUCCUACUAAAACCCCAAACCAAGGAGAAGGCGGACAUCGCCGCCGCUUCUCCUUCUCCUCCUCCCAAAUUAUCUCUCUCGGUAGGAAUUCGAUCUCCAUUUCACCGCAAACCCUCGACUUCUUGGUCUGCAUCUUCUUUUUUUCUCUGGAUUUUUUGGGGGUUUGAGGUGGAGCGGAGGACGAGAGAUGAAUUUUAAGAACGCCAAGGUUCCGAAUAUCUCCGGUGCCGGCUCGGCGGCGACGCUCAUCAAGGUGGCGCUCGUCGGGGGCACCGGCGUCAUCCUUAGUUCUUCACUAUUUCCGUCCUCCUUAGUUCUUCACUUCUUCCGUCCUUCGCCCGUUCGCUAUCAGCCCGUCCUCGGGUCUCACAAUCUCACUUCGCCCGUUUGCCAGUUGCCACUCGCCGUCCUCCCCGUCGGUACUCGGCCGAAGAGAGAGACGAGGGAUCAGGAAGGCGGCGUCGCCGGCGUCAUGGCGUGACGGCGUCUCUUCUCCUUUUCGGCCCUCCGCCCUUUCCAGCCUCCAGGUGGCAGGUGCUCUUCAGAUAUUUCUCUGUAAAGACUUCGGUACAUGCUUUCCUCAUUGUGCUACAUUAACUCAAGUUCCUUAUUAACUUGUUUCGUGUUUAUGAAGCUCAAGGUUUUUUUUUUUUUUUUGGAAUUUCAUAUUCAUGUACUGGUGGUAUCAGAAUGCCUGUUGGUCUCUUUUUAGAUUCAUAAUUUUCCUCCAAUCCGCUGUACCUUCUGUUGCAACUUGAUGGUUUCCUGGAUUUCAUAACAAUGUGCAUUGAUGAUUUAUAUGCUUCAGAUUUGCAAAACCAACGCUUAUUGAAUUAUUAUUUGGGUGUCAGAUGUGCAGGGAAGACUUCUUUCUGAAACAGCCAAAUAACUAAACGAUCACCUUGAAUCAUAACGCUUCACCUAACACUCUAUAAAUGUCAAGGGAUCUUGAUUUGGAGCUUGUUAUCUGUUAAGUUGUUAUCCCCGUUUAGUAGUUUUGAUGGCACGCCAUCUGUUUGAUAGUUUGACUGGGAGGACUUGAAGCUUGUUAUCUGUUAAGCUGUUAUCCCCGUUUAGUAGUUUUGAUGGCACGCCAUCUGUUUGACAGUUUGACUGUGAGAAUUUGGAGCUUGUUAUCUGUUAAGCUGUUAUCCCCGUUUAGUAGUUUUGAUGGCACGCCAUCGGUUUGACUGUUUGACUGUGAGGAUUUGGAGCUUGUAUGAACAUGUGAAUGUGAUGUUAUCCUUGCUGUUCUUUAUGAACCAAAAAAUAGAAUUCUAGCUUUGGAGAAAGUAAAGAGCUUCUUAGGUUCUGAUGUUGUUUUUUCGUCAUAAUAUAAAUUGCUACUGCCACUCAGGCAAUACUAAUACAUAUCCAACAAGAAGGGCCUUGCUGAUUCAGAAGCUAGCUAAAGCUCCCAAACUUCGUAAUUACUUUAGAUUUCACUUAGAAAGUAGGAUUCUAAUCUUCAUCCACACAUAAAUAGCUUCAGCCAUUAUUUGACACUAUGAUUAUUGUCAUAUAGCUUCAGCCAAUCUGUUUUUCAUCCCCUUCCAUGGAGCUCAAUUUCCCACUUCUUUUAUUUGACUUUCCCACCUCGUAGGUAAUAAGUAACACCCCUAUGCAGUUUUGAGUUUUUGAUAUGGAAAAAGGAAGCAAGACAAAUGCAUGCAUCAUCUUUUUAAAAGAUGGGGAUGUAUUUAUUGUCACAACAAUAACAAUGAUGACGAUGAUGAUUUACAAGAGUAUACAAUUAUUAAUCAAUAACAUCAUCUUCCUUUUUUUGGCUGAAUGAAAUUUUGAUGAUUGAUGAACAAACAUGGAGUGAUAUUUAUGCUUUUUUUUUCCAUUGAUUACCAUGCAUCUUUACUUUUCUUUUGUUCCUUUUUUGCAUAUUGGAACCAGAAAGGGAACAAUCGAGCCAAGUAGCGAACACCAGUAGCAGAAGAGUGAAGUAGGUAGAGAUGGAGGAAGAGAGCAAGA